AGAGUAGCUCUGUUGGUUAGAGCGUGUGGCUGUUAACCACAAUGUUGAAGGUUGGAGUCAUUCUUCU
rnacentral:tRNA from 1 species